rnacentral:lncRNA from 1 species
UAGUGAAACUUGUCUUGGACACAAGUGUGGCAUGCCUUCUGAGAUCACCCACAGGUGCUUUUAGGGAAGAACAAUGCUAAUUGGUGAACCAGAAAGCAUGCAGUGACUUCUGGGGACAUGGUGUGAGGAGGUGAUGUGCAACUCAGGGACUUUAAAUUGCUUGAGUCAUGUAUAGUCUGGAUGCAUGGACAACCUCUUACGCAGUGCUGCAUUAAGGUAUUUGAUAUGCUUGUGAGAAGGAAGCCAAGAGGACUUCAAACCUGUGAAAUAUAUGACAUGUUCCAGAUGUGUGGUGUGAGAGCCAUGCCUUCCAGUAGUAGCUGUAAAGGUAGCAGGUGAACAGUGCAAGUGAUGGCAUGGAGAAGACUUUAUAAUCACUGGGGUAUUUCCACCAUGGAUCUCAAAUCCUGGUGGUACAGAAAAAGGAGGUUGAAAUGGGGGGGGGGAAACUGUUAGUGUGUGCAGAGGUGCCUGAUGUUUGUAGCUCUGUGCAUUAGAGUGUCAAUUAAGCUAAUAAACAGAAUACUUGUUCACAAAUUAAAAAUAAAAAGUGAUGAUAACUGCUAAGUGGCAUAACAUUAAAAGCUUGCUGUCAGGUGGAUGAUUGAUUUGCAGUUGGGAGGAAAAAAGCAAGAGGCUGGUCUUCGUGUUCUCAAGAGGUACCAAGUGCUGCAGUUGUGUGCCCAAAAUUGCAAGCGACCCGCCAGUUCUGGAGAGCUUGCUGGUGAGACAAGGAGAGGCUGACGCUUCCCUGGGACCUGCCUGCUCGUGCUGCUUCGAGGAGUGCAUUUGUGUUGCCAUUGCACAGCUCGGACUGGCAGUGCUGGUUCCUGGUGCAGGGUCUAUGGGUACCUGUGUGGCCCCCGAGCAGGUAGGUACGACAUUGCCUGCCCUCCAGGAUAACAGCCGAGCCUCCUGCAAUCCCAUUGAUCGAAUCCUCCGAGGCUGGAGAAGCAUUUCAUGCAUCAUCAUAACAAGUUGUUCACAACUCCCUGUGCGCUGGGCUUCAAAUUCAGCCUUUCAAAAGACUUUGAUAAAGAAGAAAGGAUCAUUUUUUUCCUGACUGCUGCAAAUGAAAAUGCUUUUCACUUGGGAGUCGUGGGUCAUAUUUAUGGAAAUGGGGAGAGCACUUGCAAUAUUUAUAGUGGUUACAGAAGCGAUUGAAUCUAUCUUUUAUUGAUAUGUAUUUACAUGCCCACAAAAAUCUUAUUGCACAGUAGUUGAGAGAACUUUAUUUAGAUUUAGUAUUUUGAAGUAAUUUUUUAGUGCUUCUUUAUUAUCCAUGGAGUGUGAGAUUCAAUAUUUCAAGUAGGACUGUCACCAAACAGCCGGAGGUUUUUAAAAGAUUUUACAUAAAGAUAAAUGUUGAAGCCACAUUUUUCAGAGGCACCAUCUGUUCCGUGUUGACCUUAAUUUUCUGGAUGAGUGCUUUUCUUCAAACGUUUUAAGUCUUGUCUACAUUUCAUUUGGUUGGGAGUGUUUAGGUUAUUUGUUGAACAGGAAAUCAGAUAUUCAGAAUGCAAACACACCAUUACAUUGCAAAUUAUUCCCUUUGUAUAAUUUAGCAAACUGCUUUGUAAAUACUCUGCAGACUUGCUGGGGUGGCUCUGUGCCUCUGACAUCUGGCGGGUCAGCCCUGUGUGGAACUGGAUGUCUGAAUGUCACCAUCAUGCCUU